rnacentral:rRNA from 1 species
GAAUAUUGGACAAUGGGCGCAAGCCUGAUCCAGCAAUACCGCGUGUGUGAAGAAGGCCUGAGGGUUGUAAAGCACUUUCAAUAGAGACGAAAAACUCAGGUUUAAUACGCCUGGGUCUUGACUUAACCUAUAGAAGAAGCACCGGCUAACUCCGUGCCAGCAGCCGCGGUAAUACGGAGGGUGCAAGCGUUAAUCGGAAUUACUGGGCGUAAAGCGCUCGUAGGCGGUUUGUUAAGUCGGAUGUGAAAGCCCCGGGCUCAACCUGGGAACUGCAUUCGAUACUGGCAGACUAGAGUAUAGUAGAGGCAAGUGGAAUUCCGGGUGUAGCGGUGAAAUGCGUAGAUAUCCGGAGGAACAUCAGUGGCGAAGGCGACUUGCUGGACUAAUACUGACGCUGAGGAGCGAAAGCGUGGGGAGCAAACGGGAUUAGAUACCCCGGUAGUCCACGCCGUAAACGAUGUCAACUAGCCGUUGGGGGUCUUAGUACCUUUAGUGGCGCAGCUAACGCAUUAAGUUGACCGCCUGGGGAGUACGGUCGCAAGACUAAAACUCAAAGGAAUUGACG